GAAAUUUGCUCUCUGUUACCUGGGGAAAGGAGGAAGAUUGUCCUGAGUGCUCUGGAAGAAAAAACUCCUUUUUCUGCAGAUGUUUGCUCUACAUGCUCUCACCACUGAAAAAAUUUGGUGGCAACAAAACACAUGAACCAGCAAAAGCAACGUUAAAAAUGGAAAUAAAACCUAAAAAAUCUACAUCUCUCUUUACCAAAACUUUUCAUCCUCCAAGUGCUGGCUCUUUUAUUAACGGUGGUUCCAUUGUGAUUUCUCAAGGAGAGCUGAAGCAAUCAUUCAUUCACAUCAGCAAAGAACCCUUCAUCUUUGCUUUUCACAGAGCCCUGUAGAGCACUGAAUGCAUGUUAAAUGCUAAAACCAAGAGAGGGAGUGUGGAAAGUAUAAUAGACUCCAUUAAUCUGCAGUGCCAUUUAUCUCCUGUCCAUUUGUCUUUCCCACAUACGUGUCUGUGUGUGUGUGUGCAGGGCACCUUCUGGCACAUUUGUGCACCCUCAAAGCAAUCUCUGUGGUUCUAUGCUGAAACACACAAGCUAAUCUUCAGGACCAUAAAUUUUGAGUAAACUUGUUUCAAAAGUCA